rnacentral:snoRNA from 1 species
GUAGACCUACAUCGUUGGAAAUGCCUCAUAGAGUAUUUGUGUGGUUUCCUUUAUUCACAGAACUAUGUGUUAGAUCUGUGGGAAAGAACUGCAAGACACUU